CCUACGGGAGGCAGCAGUGAGGAAUAUUGGUCAAUGGGCGGGAGCCUGAACCAGCCAAGUCGCGUGAGGGAAGACGGUCCUAUGGAUCGUAAACCUCUUUAGGCGGGGAGCAAUGCCGGGCACGUGUGCCCGGAGGGAGAGUACGCGCAGAAUAAGCAUCGGCUAACUCCGGGCAAGCAGCCGCGGUAAUACGGAGGCCGCGAGCGUUAGCCGGAUUUAUUGGGUUUAAAGGGUGCGUAGGCGGACUUUUAAGUCAGCGGUAAAAUGUCCGGGCUCAACCCGGCCCGGCCGUUGAAACUGGGGAUCUUGAGUGGGCGAGAAGUAGGCGGAAUGCGUGGUGUAGCGGUGAAAUGCAUAGAUAUCACGCAGAACUCCGAUUGCGAAGGCAGCAUACCGGCGCCCGACUGACGCUGAGGCACGAAGGCGUGGGGAUCGAACAGGAUUAGAUACCCCAGUAGUC
rnacentral:rRNA from 1 species